GACGAACGCUGGCGGCGUGCUUAACACAUGCAAGUCGAACGGAAAGGCCCGGCUUUUGCGGGGUGCUCGAGAGGCGAACGGGUGAGUAACACGUGAGUAACCUGCCCUUGUCUGUGGGAUAACUCCAGGAAACUGGGGCUAAUACAGGAUAGGAGCUCCUGCUGCACGGUGGGGGUUGGAAAGAUUCGGCGGUGGGGGAUGGACUCGCGGGUUAUGAGCUUGAUGGUGGAGUAGUGGCGUACAAGGCCUUUGACGGGUAGCCGGCCUGGGAGGGUGACCGGCCACAUUGGGCCUAAGGUACGGCGCAGACUCCUACCGGAGGCAGCAGUGGGGAGUCUUGCACAAUGGGCGGAAGCCUGAUGCAGCAACGCCGCGUGCGGGAUAACGGCUUUCUGGUUGUAAACCGCUUUCUCCUUUGCCGAAGCCGGAGUGACGGUAAUGGAUAAAGAAGCACCGGCUAACUACGUG
rnacentral:rRNA from 1 species